rnacentral:lncRNA from 1 species
AACGGGACCAAAAGUUAAGAAUCUACAUACACAGUCAUGACAGUUAGAUUCGGCAUAUCAAAGAACCCCAAUUAUUCAAUUUUGAUGAAAUCAAACAAAGUUUAAUUUUGGACCCUUUGGGCCCCUUAUUCUGUUGGGACCAAAACUCCCAAAAUCAAUACCAACCUUCCUUUUAUGGUCAUAAACCUUGUGUUUAAAUUUCAUAGAUUUCUAUUUACUUAUACUAACAUUAUGGUGCGAAAACCAAGAAAAAUGCUUAUUUGGGUCCCUUUUUGGCCCCUUUUUCCUAAACUGUUGGGACCUAAACUCCCAAAAUCAAUACCAACCUUCCUUUUGUAGUCAUUAACAUUGUGUUUAAAUUUCAUUGAUUUCUAUUUACUUAAACUAAAGUUAUUGUGCGAAAACCAAGAAUAAUGCUUAUUUGGGCCCUCUUUUGGCCCCUAAUUCCUAAACUGUUGAAACCUAAACUCCCAAAAUCAAUCCCAAC